UCCGACCCCCUCAGCCCCGAAGGCGCCGCCCGGCCGUUUCUCCAACGGCUGUGCCUCAACGGUCGGGAGGUCGCUCGCUCUGCCGCCCUCCGAGGCCCGGCUGACACCGCUGCUCCCCGCCACCCCCCGCCCCGCCCGGACGCCUGGCACAACCUGCCGGCCGAAGGAAGGCUCCGCGGGGAGCCCCGGCACCCGCCGCCGCCGCCGCUGCCACCCGGCGUCAGGUCUCCGCGGCUCCGCGAUCUCUGAGGCACCUCAAGCGGCCGCGGGAAGGCGGGAAGCACGCGUCCAAUCGGCGUCGCGUGCGGCCGGCGCUGCGUCUAAUCAGCGCCGCCGGCCCGGCAGCGCCCCGCCCCUCGCACCCGCGCCGGCGUCGGGGUCGCCCGAGGCGGAGCCAGGGGUGCUGAGAUGGGCGCGGCUCGGGGCCUCAGUGCUCUGUCUAUUGCUGAAAAUACCUGCUAGUUCCACUCGGUAACGUGUUUUCUGAAAGAUGACUGCUGGAACCUUUGACACUUAAGAAGACAUAAACAGAGUCACCUUUUAUCAUCAAAAAGGUAAUUGCAAAGGGCAUCCUUGCCUGAAAUUCUACAGAGUUGCCUAAAAAUUGAAAUAACUUAAGGCAGAAUUUCUUUAAAUGUGUAGGUAGUUCAAACCUAUACAGAAUGGCCUGAUAAAGUGCAGAUCAUAAUUAUCAAACACAUAACAAGAAAAAAUACAUUAAGUGAGAGGAGAGACUGCAGAAGGGAUAUCUUGCUAGUUACAAGUUUUAAACAUGUUCCUUCUUCUCGGCUGCUGGUGUAGGAGACACACAGCCUAACCAGGGCAGCCUGAACUCCCAGGAAUGGUUGUAUGAUGACGGAUGAAGCAUAAAUUUCUUGCCUAUUAAUAGUUUCCCGGCUGUUAGAAGCCUACAGAUAUUGGCAAGCAAAUGUGAUCUCGGGUUUUCCGUGUCCCGGGUCGGGAAUGCCUUGAGGGACCACGAUGGGGUCACACUGUGCAUGCUGUUUACAGUGAGCACAAACACACAACCGGACGUUUUCUUAGCUUACUAAAUCCAGAAUAUUCCCGAGAAGGCAUCCACUCAGGUAAAAGGUCCCAGCAUCACAAUGAUAACAGUAGCUGCAUUCACGGAGAUCCAAUUAGGACACAUGCAAAAGCCACAGGCUUUCCCAGCGGGGAGACGCAGGCCUUUCCAAGAACACCCUGGGAUGGGCCGACGCACCCAUGCAUCUACUCACCCAGCACCCCACCCCAGCACAGGCUCGGCCUUCUGGAACCUGAGACUACUUUUUAGACCAUAAACGUUGCAGGUGGGACAGGACAGGCCACUGCCAGCACACCUUGCAGCGGGAAGUGAGCUUCCAGGAGCUCGGGUUGGGGAAGGGGUGUGAGGGAGGAGCACCACCCGGAUGCCAGCGUGCUGCUAGGAAGUGCCCGCCGG
rnacentral:lncRNA from 1 species